GAUGAAGAACGUAGCGAAAUGCGAUAAGUAGUGUGAAUUGCAGAAUUUAGUGAAUCAUCGAAUCUUUGAACGCACAUUGCGCCCUUUGGUAUUCCUUAGGGCAUGCCUGUUCGAGCGUCAUCUACACCCUCAAGCACAGCUUGGUGAUGGGCGCCUGUCCCGCCCCCCACGGGGGCGCGGACUCGCCUCAAAUGCAUUGGCGGCCGGCGACCUGGCUUCGAGCGCAGCAGAAACGCGUACUCGGGGACCGGGCGCCCGCUCCCAGAAGCCAACCCACCCAGUUUGAGCUCGGAUCAGGUAGGGAUACCCGCUGAACUUAAGCAUAUCAAUAAGCGGAGGA
rnacentral:misc_RNA from 1 species